UUUGAACAAAUUACUUACAAGAGCUUGGAUAUGAACAUGAUGUUCUGACUGCACUUGUGCUAAUUCACCACUCAAGACUGCCUUUGGGCCAUUCAGUUGAUACCUAAAGAACUGUGCUAGGUUUCGCUGCCAGACCACUGCUUCAGACCCACUGUGGGAGGACUUCAGAGCAAAUAAGUUAACAAACACCUAAAGUGUUCUCUGCUUCAGUGUGGUAUUCGUGCCUUCUCAUUUCAUGAUCAUGGUAUCUCCCCUGCCAGACUGAAGAGCCUUUUCUGACAUCCUCAUUUGUUCUGCUGUGUAAUAGCAUGGGAUCUUUCAGAGCUGUUGACAUCUGCUCCACUCUAGAGAGCUGCAGAACCGAGCCAGCAAAGCAAUAAUAAUUAUGCCCGAAUGGACUGCAAAGGAUGUAAGAGAUAAGAAGGAACACAAGAAAGAAAAUACAUUCGAUGCCAUGUUGUUCCAGCCUGGAUCAUCAUCUGGCAGGUCUGAGCCUGGUCUUACUAACUGGAAACUGGAGAAGUACGUUCAGAAAUGAACAAGAUGUCCCCGAGGCAACCAGAAUGCCAUCCAAAGUGGCAGGGCAGUGUUGGCCUCUGUCCUCUGUUCCUGUUCCUCCUUGCUGCUCGAACUCUGGCUCCCGCUGGCAUUUCUCUUUCUGCCACAGAGCUCUCCGGCCUCCAGGGACGUGGAUCCAACCCCAGUUCCCGCCUCCACUCGACCCAGGGGUUGGAUCUGAUGUGGUCAGGGGUCAUCUCAACCCACUGCCAGUGAUUGGUUCAGAAAUGGGUGUGUAA
rnacentral:lncRNA from 1 species